rnacentral:rRNA from 1 species
CCUACGGGGGGCAGCAGUGGGGAAUUUUCCACAAUGGGCGAAAGCCUGAUGGAGCAACGCCGCGUGUGUGAUGAAGGUCUUCGGAUCGUAAAGCACUUUCGACCGGGACGAAAAACCUCUGGCUAACAUCCAGGGGCCUGACGGUACCGGGAGAAGAAGCACCGGCUAACUCUGUGCCAGCAGCCGCGGUAAUACAGAGGGUGCAAGCGUUGUCGGGAAUUGCGGGGAGUAAAGUUCGUAUAUGCGGUUUGAAAGCCCAUGGCUUAACCAUGGAAGUGCGUCUGAAACUGCCGAGCUUGAGUGCCGGAGAGGAUGGCGGAAUUCCGCAGGUAGAGGUGAAAUUCGUAGAUAUGCGGAGGAACACCGGUGGCGAAGGCGGCCAUCUGGACGGUAACUGACGCUGAGACGCGAAAGCGUGGGGAGCAAACAGGAUUAGAUACCCUUGUAGUC